rnacentral:misc_RNA from 1 species
UCCGAGUUGACCCCGGCAGUCUCCUGCGAGUCCCCGCCAUUACGCGCUGGCAACACAGGACAAGGGUUGCGCUCGUUGCGGGACUUAACCCAACAUCUCACAACACGAGCUGACGACAGCCAUGCAGCACCUGUCACUCGGCUCCCGAAGGCACUCCGCCGUCUCCGGCAGAUUCCGAGGAUGUCAAGGGUAGGUAAGGUUCUUCGCGUUGCAUCGAAUUAAACCACAUGCUCCACCGCUUGCGCGGGCCCCCGUCAAUUCCUUUGAGUUUUAACCUUGCGGCCGUACUCCCCAGGCGGAGUGCUCAAAGCGAUAGCUGCGUCACUGACGGGCAUGCCCCCCACACCUAGCACCCAUCGUUUACGGCUGGGACUAC